rfam:Medicago truncatula strain A17 chromosome 6, whole genome shotgun sequence.
UUGGACGUGAAUCAAUUAUGUUUGUAUACACUUAUUAAAAGUGAUUCUCAUGAGUUAAUGUUGUUUGCAUAA